GUUUGCGCCACCUAUAGCCCGGGAGGCUGUGCGUCAUGGCGGCUUCUUGCCCACUCCCGGUAACCCCCGACCUGCCCACGCUGCGUGCCAAGUUGCACGGGCUGCUGCGGUUCCUGAGGGAAGCGCUGCCCAUUUCCAAUGCACAUACGGUGGACUUCUACACGGAGUCGGUGUGGGAGCAGCUGGUCGACCUGCCUCCGGAGACCGUGCUGGCGGUGCUGAGGAGGUCGGCGGCGGAGGCGGAGGCCCAGCCCUCGGCGGCGCGCCCCCUGGCGGAAGCCCAGGGAGGAUCAGAUAGUACUGAUUUUCCAAAAGUAUUUUGUGAAACUUCCCAGAAGCUGGUGAGUGUGGAAGCCUUUGCUCUGGCUGCAAAAUGUUAUUCUGUACAAAACUUGGGAAUAUGUACUCCUUUAGAACAGUUGCUUGUAGCCCUCCGAGGAAAUCAAAAACAGAGAACUGAUAAAAAUGUGAAGCCAGAUGAGUUUAUGAAUUUGAAAAAGUCUCAUGAAGUUCAGGCAAUGUCGGAGCUUAUCAGCAGUGUUGCUGAUUACUAUGGAGUAAAGCAGAUAAUUGACCUAGGCUCUGGAAAAGGCUACCUAAGCUCCUUUUUGUCUUUGAAGUAUGGCUUAAAAGUUUAUGGAAUCGAUUCCUCAAAUACCAAUACUCAUGGAGCUGAGGAGAGAAACAGGAAACUGAAGAAACAUUGGAGAGUCUAUCAUAGACGGUCAAAAUUAGAUGUCAGUGCCCUGGCAUUGCAAACGGCAAAAGAAAGGAAGCUGCAGGAUGAAAUUGAAUGUAACGCAUAUGCCGAGGGAGUGGGUAACAGCAGUACUGCAAAUCAAGAAAAAAUGUCAACCUCAGAUUUUUUGCCAGAUUUUUCAGGCUCUGUAAUUUCCAACAUCAGAAAACAAAUGGAAAACCUACAUGUACAUUCACAUCGAGAAGAAAAUUUGUAUUUUGAGAAUGCCUUUUCUGUUAGAGACCUUUUACCUAUUAAUGCCAUAGAAUCUACUUCGUCCCAAACACCCAAGAGGAAAAUGUUGGAAACAAAUAAAGAGAGAAGAAAAGUGACAUCAAAGUCAAAUGAAUCAAAUGUAUAUUCACCUUUAACAUCUUUUAUCACUGCUGAUUCAGAACUACAUGAUAUUAUUAAAGAUCUGGAGGAUUGUUUGAUGGUAGGUCUACAUACUUGUGGUGAUCUUGCUCCAAAUACUCUUCGAAUAUUUGCUUCCAAGUCUGAAAUCAAGGGAGUUUGCAGUGUGGGUUGUUGCUACCACCUUUUAUCUGAAGAGUUUGAAAACCCACAUAAAGAAUGUACCCAAGAAAAGUGGGGAUUUCCAAUGUGCCGCUCUUUGAAGGAAGGGAGAUGGUGCUGUGGCCGUAAUGCCAGAAUGUCAGCAUGUUUGGCACUGGAACGGGUUGCAGUUGGCCAAGGGCUGCCUACUGAAUCACUCUUCUAUCGUGCCGUUCUUCAGGAUAUUAUUAAAGAUUGUUAUGGCAUCACCAAAUGUGAUCGGCACGUUGGUAAACUUUAUUCCAAAUCCUCUUCUUUUCUGGAUUAUGUCAGAAAGUCUCUAAAGAAGCUUGGAUUAGAUGAGUCCAAGCUGCCAGAAAAAGUUAUAAUGGACUACUACGAGAAGUAUAAGCCUCGAAUGAAUGAGCUGGAGGCUUUUAAUAUGUUGAAAGUUGUUCUGGCUCCUUGUAUAGAGACACUGAUUCUUCUGGAUCGACUUUGCUACCUGAAAGAACAGGAGGAUAUUGCCUGGUCUGCACUUGUGAAGUUGUUUGAUCCUGUGAAGUCUCCCAGAUGUUAUGCUCUUAUUGCACUAAAGAAGCCACAGUGACUUCAGAUGAAGCAAGAUUCUAACUCAUCUGCAAGAUGCAAAAACAUAAGGAAGAUAGGAUAGCCAAAACAGAAAUGCCGUCUUGGGAAGAUAAGAAACAGAAGAUCAAAUCUUUCUAACAUUUAAGACAACAGGCCCCGGAAGAAAGCUGAAAGAUCUGCUGGGAUCUCUUUUCCCCAGAAGUCCUCUGCCUCAGCCACGAUCAAUCCUCAAACCCUCAGGGAAAGGACGGCCAACAACUGCCAGCCUCUUUCAGGAAGUGGUUUGUCUUCCUCUGGAAUUUUCAUCUAUGCUCUUUCCUUACUUAUGAUAUCUUUAAAAUGUGUACUUUUUAAAAAAAUUUUAUUUAUCCCCUUUUUCGGUGGUUGCACUCAAAGUGUUGGCUUGCCAUGACCUACUACAGCCUGCCCCAAAGCAGACCUGCCCCAAAGCAGACCUGCCCCAAAGCAGACCUAGGAAAGCUGUUUUAACAGGCUGAUAUACAUCGACUCGACCUCAUUAAUGCCACUGUUCUGUCCAGUGAAAGGGAAACCUACAGCAGGGUAGCCUCUUUGGUGAAGAGAGAGAAAUGAGUAUGAACGUGUGUUUUACAAAGUCUGGAAACAAACUAGAAUCCUUUUCAUUGGUGUAUAUUUCAAGAUACCACGAAGAGAUAGAAAACCGUUUUUAAGAAGUCAGAAACACACAAAAUAGCCCAAGUUGAACGCUGUCCAGUUAUGAUGACAUGUCUUUUUUGACAGAGGACUUGCUGAAGCUUAUAGAAAUAUAAUUCACAUGUCUUAUGAAUCGAAUGUUUGGGAACUCACCCCCCACCCUCAUUUCUGUCCUUUCACACUUGGAGCAGCAGGCUGUCACCUGCGGAAAAGACGGAAGUCGGUUACCGGUGUUCUCACGUCCCCACCUGGCCACUUGAUGUGCACACACACCACCCACCCAGGCAUGUGCCAACGGCCCUGAUGACAUGUAAAUUUGAUCUAUGCUCCAAGGACAGCGAUUCGUACUCUUACUCAUUGUUUUGUGGUCUUCCAAAUAAGCUUUUUAUUUUGGAGGAAUUUCAGGUUCACAUAACAGUUGCAAAAAUAGAGUUCCCACAUGCCCCUCACCCAGUUUCCUCCGCACUGACCCGUCCCGCGUGCACCCCAUGCAUUUGUCAGCACUAAGACGCCAACACUGGUACAUCACUAUUAACUCCAGACUUUAUGCAGACUUCAGUAGUUUUCCACUAAUGUCUUUUUGUCUCAUGAUCUAAUCCAGGGUGCCACAUCGUACUAAGUGUUUUGUGAUAGUUUUUUAAUGGAUGUUUUGUAAUUUCACAUUUCUUGAUUCAGUGUCCUGUUUGUGCUUCUGUAUAAUCAUUUAGUUUUCAAUUGCGAAUCAUUUUUGAGUGCCAAAAGUGCCAUAUUUUUCACACUCCAAACUCCUCAGCAGGCCUCUGAAGACAACUUGGCUUUAUUUAUGACACUAUAUUUUAAAGUAACUGAAAAUAUUCAAAAUAAUGCUUACUUUGUUCAGAGUCCAUGAACUCCAACCGGAACAUAUAAACGUCAAAUUUGAGCAAUAAAUUUUGAUUGAUUUUUGAAAUUCCAUGUAAGGCAGUAUUUUUUCUGUAUAGAGUCCCAUGGAAAAUAUUUUUAAAAAUUGUUUCCUAUGGGAUCCGAAAGUUCUUUAAGUAGAUUUUUAGUAAGAUUUCUGAACAAUUUAAAUACCAUUUCAGAUUGUCAGAAUGACGAAUGUUUUUUAAUUAUUUUAUUGCAGUGAUUUAUCCCUCACAUUUACAGAACCCCGAGCAUUAUUUUUGUCACUUCAGCUGAACAACCGUCAUUUCUCUGUUUUGUUCUUUUCCUUAUUGUAUGCUCUAUGCUGGAGCACUUUCAAAUUUUUUAAAAUGGUCUUUUAUUUGUAGACCAUUAGUGAAUUGCAUGAGCCAUUAUAUUCAAUGAAAUGAGUAUUGUGUGAUUGAAGAUUAACCAAGGGAAUGGAUCAUGGUUCCAUUAAAAGCACCAAGAUAUUCCUGGAAAAGCUAUGAAAAUAUGCUUUCCCAUUAAGGAACAGCACUCUUCAGCGCUGCCAGUCCCAGUAAAAACUGUCUAACAUAAAGCAGACAUUUCUGUAACGUACAUGAGGAGGGCAUUAGGCUGACCAUGGCACAACUAUCUGCCAGGUGGGACUCUGACUCCCAGAAGUCACUUUGUAGUUCUCCUCAGCUACAGAGAUGGCAAAGCUUGCCAUCCGUUCAAGGCGCAGCCGUGGUCUGAUUAAAGUUCUGGGCCCCGUUUGGAACGUUGUGGAAUUAAAGAUGAUUCAACCCAAAGAGCAAAUUACUGAAGCAUGGGUCCCGCACUGGUGGCUUGAACUCUUAUUUUGUUUGGCCCAGACAGUGUUUUCUUUGUUUGCUUUUAGUAUUUGAAUCAACUGCGGAACUCUUAAGCACUGGACACUCACACGACUGAAAUCUGAAUUGCUCUCCUUUCCACAUGUCCCUAAUAAGCUGGAGCUGACUCUCGGGCCCCUGUUCCACGGGGCACGUCCUCUCCAGCUGUCCACAGUCCUACCACCCGGGAUUAGUUCCUUGCCUGGUAACAACCAGUUAGCAUCACGCCUUGCUCGCUGCUGCCACCACGCUUUUCACCGCAGGAAAAGGAGCCGCAUUCCUGGUUCGGUGAUGGUGCCAAGUGGCCCUGAGGAUGUUGGAGCCUGCGACUCUGGAUAAAAAGCUGAGAUCGUCUUCACAGAGGAGGAGCUCCCGUCAUGGCUCAGUGGUUAACAAACCCAACUAGUAUCCAUGAGGAUGCGGGUUCGAUCCCUGGCCUCGCCCCGUGGGUUAAGGAUCCGGCAUUGCUGUGGCUGUGGUGUAGCCCGGUGGCUACAGCUCCGAUUCGACUCCUAGCCUGGGAACCUCCAUAUGCCAGUGGGUGUGACCUAAAAAGCCAAAAAAAGAAAUAAAAUUAAAGAAAGAAACUUCACCAGAGGGUAAAUGGCCCGAGACUGUGACUCUCAAGUUGGAAUUGAGGUGUGAGUCCAGGCAGAGUGUUUUUUGGCCUGACAUGUCCUUUACCACAUCGCUUGCCAUAACGGCUUCUUGCUUUCGCUGGGACCCUGCAGCUAGACUGCCUCUGUUCAGAUUCCCACUCUGCCACUUACAGUAACGUGUGCUUAGGCGAGUCGCCCAGCCUCUUCCUGCGCAGUGUCCUCCGCGGUGAGAGGAGAAGGAUCGUGCCUCUGUCCUAGAGUCGCUGCGGGAUUCCUUCGGGUCAGCGUGGGUGAAGCCCUGCAGACAGAGCCACGGGAGGCUUAGCCGUUGCAGGUGUUUUCACUUUCUGGUCGUGCCAACAGCUAAUGUAUUAUCUGUGGCUCAUGCUGCCUCCUGAUGUAUAGCUCAUCCUGGUCCCUGGCCUUUGCCCCCCCUCUGUGCCUCCCUGGGUCUGCACCAGCUCUAGGGGUUGGUGGUGUAUUUGCAUAUCGAAGGAGGCAAACAAUACAGUGAAGGAAAUGCGUUCAGAAGUGACAGGGACCUUAGCAUGUAGAGCUGGCAAACGUUUCCUACAGAAGGCCGGAUGGUAAACAUGUUGGCUUUGUGGCCAUAUGGUUUCUGUGACAACUCCUCAACUCUGCUGUUGGAGCCCAGAAGCUGCCAUCAAUAGGGAACGCAUGGGUGUGGCUGUGUUCCAGUACCAUUUUCUCUAUGGACACUGGAAUUUGAAUGGCAUGUAAUCUUCACAUAUCAUGCACUAUUCUUCUUUUGACUGUUUUUCAACUGUUUAAAAAUGUGAAAACCAUUCUUGGCUGACGGGCUGUAAAAAGCAAGAGGAAAGCCACCCUUGUCCCAGGCUUGCAAACUCCAGUGAUUUCACCCAGGAAUUCCACCUGGGAAUUUGGGGUUGACAUGUGAAGCUAUGGGGGCCCCAACUCCAAACUCACUGAAGAAAACCCUCCCGGUGGUGGGCAGCAGAAUCUUUCCUGGCAACAUGGGUGUGAUGCCUAGCAGGGUAGCUUUAGGAACCACACUUCAGAAACUACCCAAGGCCUCCCAGUGAGCAUGGAGACGCCAUGGGCCUCUGCUCAGACCUAAAGCUGACUUACAAAGGUCGGGUACACCAAGCACCACAUUUGCAAAAGUGAGUGGGAUCACCUGUGGCCUAAUUAUUUAAAUUAUUCCUUGCGUUCUUUUUUAUUUUCAAAGUCCCCUCUCCACAGCGGUCAUUAUUUCUUCCCCUGGGUUGGAGGGUUGUACUAUCAACUUGAAACCACCCUAAAAUAACUUCCCCUUAGCGAAAUCUCAUCUCCUAUUUUUGUCAAUGCAGGAACAUGUGCCUGUUUAUUGACCCCUUCUUUGUAGUGACAAAAAAAAAACCCUGAAAAUAACUUAGGUGGUUUGAUGAGUGACAUCUGGUGAUUCUUACUUGAAAUGUUAUGCCACUAUGUAAAGAAUGUGUUUGAGCUACAUGUACUGCCCUGGAGGAGGGAGGUUAAUUACAUACCAAAAAUAACAGGAAGAGACAGUGUAACGUGUACAGUAUGAUCCCACUGCCAUUGGAAAGGAAACACGCUGAUGACCCUGGUUACUUUAGGCAGAUAACAGUGGAGGGAGCCGUGGAGGGGGAAAGAUUAUUUAACCUUUUCUUUAAACAUAUCUUUAUUGUUUGACUUUUUAUGGGAAAAAUUUUAAAACAGAAACAUUUUUAAGUGCAAAUUGAAAGCAAAACCUCUAAUAACCUUCAUCGUCUGCUUGGGACGGGAAAUCCAUUUCCCUGAUAAGAAAGCGAGACCUGCUUCUGAGACUCACCCACUUGGACAAAGUGGAAGAAUUUGAGUUAUAAUGUGAAUCGGAAAACGCUUUGAGAAACCACUUUGGGAAAAAAAAAUGUGACUCAGGCUGCACAAUUACGCAAUUAUCAACUUCUUUUCCUCACUCAAAUCAGCAGUUCAGGAGAGUUUUGGACGUGGAAUUCCAUGAUAUGAAUCUCAUCUAAAAUCAGGUAGAACCCUGACUUUAAACAAAUAGCUUCUUUGACUAAACAAGUCAAAAAGAACCAACCUCUUCUUCUUUUCUGGUCUUUAUCUUUAAUAUAAAGAGUAUAACUUUAACAGGCAACCUAUGGUUUGUUCCAUUACAGAAAGUUUCUUAGAAAGAUGACCUAUCUAAAUAAUUGCUUGUUGCAUAGCUCCUGUUAAGACUUCCACUUUGUCCUGGUGUUUUUCCAGCGACAGAUUUUGUAAGAAUUGUGGAGAGCACUGUUACCAAAUGCUCAUCUAAAUUAUUCUGUCUCAUUUGUGCACAUCUGUCAUUUCCAUAUAAUUACAUGUGAGCAUUGGGUAACAUGCUUUCUGAAAUCAAGAGAGAAAAAGAGAUGAGUGUAAUAAAUCUGUGAAGGAGGUCUGAAUUAAAUAUACUCAGGUUCAAAGUGCAGAUUUCAAUACCAAAAGGGCGUCUUUUUCUCAUUGCAGUUUAUCCGUUGGUUUACACACCGCUUACUGUUUAUCAGGUCAGGACCUGUGCUGGUAAAUGGCUGUGUUGCGUUACCACCCAGAGGGGAGCGGUCUUUUUUCCGCACUAGAAAAAAGAAGCUCAGAAAACUGAGGUAACCUGCAGUCAGGCACUAAAAAAUGCCCAGGCAGAGAAUGAGCUCAGAUCUACGCGUGCAUUUAACAGUUACUAUUGUCGCACAGUGCCAGGCUCUGUUCUAGGUAGUUUGUGAAUAUGAAUGCAGCACAUGCUCAAGGUAAUUCCAGAGGUAGGGGCCUUUGUCCUUACCAUUUACAGGUGAGUUCACCCCGCAGGAGGUUAAGUGAACGACAGGGCUGGAAUUCAGACUCAGGCAGUCAGGCUCCAGGGGCCACGCUCUGAACCACCUCGCUGGAGGGACGUCUCAGCCCUAAAGGCUUUGUUGCCUGCUGCCCUGGUCUGCUUAGGAAGGCAGACAGACUGACUCCUAGGGACAGAGAGGGAGGGGGUUAUGUGCUGCCGUCCACAGCAGUGGCUACAUAGCAUAACAGAGUUGUGUUAAGUGACUGAAAAUUCCAACCCAAUUCUUCCGAAAAAAUGGAGAAAGAACUUACUGCAUCAUGCUGGGGACUGAAUUUUGUCCCCCAAAGCUCAUAGGUGGAAGCCCUAAUAUCUAAUGUGCGUGUAUUUGGAGAAACGCCCUAUGAGGAGGUAAUUAAAGUUAAGCUCACAGAGGGUAGGAGUAGUGUCCUUCCAGUAGGAGACACAGAGACAUUUCUCCCUCCCGCCCCUCCCCCUCUUGUUCUUAUUCUCCCCCUCCCACCACACAUACAACAGCACAGAGGCUGCAUAUAAACCAAGAAUCCUAGCGAAACCUACUUUGCUGGCACCUUGACUUUGGACUCCCCAGCCGCCCCAACAGUCAGAAACAAAUUGCUCUUGUUUCAGUCACACAGUGAAUGGUAUUUCGUUAUGCCAGCGUGAGCAGACUGAGACACAUCAUGGCUCUGAAAAGUCCUAGGGUUGAUCUAAUUCAGACCCAGAUGGAUUCAGGGGCUCAAAUAAGUCUCUCUUGCUCUAUCCUUCUCUCACCCUCUCUCGGUUCCUCUCACCCACUCUUGUUCUGCUUUCCUCUCAAUUGACGUCCUUCUCAGCACAGCAGCCUCUGUGUGCUCCUGCCCCUCACACCCCCCAGCCCCCCCGCCAGGCUAACUUAGUGAUUCUAGACCCCUAGCUGAUCCUCAGAUUCUGAUGCAUGAUCCGAGUGAAAUGCCACACUUCUAACCAAAGGGUUGCAGUUGAGCCUCACUGGACUAGCUUGGGGCAGAUACCGAUCCCUGAACCAAUCACUGUGGAUUGGCUGAGCCUGAGUUACUAGUCUCCACCUGGAGCAGGCAGCCAGGGGUCGGCCCCUUGGAACUAUUGGCUGUGCGUGGAGGGCGUGGCUCCCCAGAAGGAAGUCAGGAUGGCUGCACCAGGAGGAGAACGUGGAUGCCAGGCCAGCAAUGCUCGUAAGUCCACCACCAUGUGACUAACCUUCUCCAGGUCACCAGUCCUCAGCAGAGGCUGUGCAUUGAAGUGACUCGGGAGUUUGUAAGAACUAGAUGCCAGAGGCUCUCCGUCAGUGAUUCUGAUAGAUGCUUUUUUCAGAAGCCUUUCAAGGAUGCAGGGACCAGGGGUUCUAAUCUCAGAUAAUCUUUUUUUUUUUUUUUCAUUUUGUAAUUUAACAACAGUAAUAUGUAGUCUUUUCAGGUAUAUGUUAUUGGAAAAUAACGAGAAUGUGAUAUUGUGAUUAAAUCUGUGUUUGGUCUUUGUCCCUGCUUCUGGCACAGCUGCGAAAACCUUUGAAUUUCCUAAGUGAUAAGAGUGAUAAGGGCGUCUCAGUAUUCCUAACCACCCCCUUUCAGCCACAGCUGAGUUGAUGUUAAUAAGGUGGCUUUGGUAAGCACUUAAGGAUGGUGCUGGCUGCCAGGGGAACCAACCCAGUGAUUAGAGGGCUGGAAAUUUCAAUCCCACCCCACCCCCCAGAGAAGAAGAGAAGGGCUGAAGUUGGAAUCAGUCACCAGUGGUCAAUGAUUUAAUCAUUCAUGCAUAUGUAAGAAAGCCUUCAUAAAAAUUGAAAAGGAUGGGGGUUUGAAGAGCUUUCGCGUUGGGGAACUCUUUGAGGUUUGGAGAGAAUGGCACACUUGAGAGGGCAUGGGGGCACCAUGCCAUUUCUCUGUAUCUUGCCCUACACUCUCUUCUCCCUGGCUGGUCCUGAGUUAUACCUGUUUAUUAUAAACCAAUAACCUAGUGAAUAAAUUGUCUUUCUGAGUUCUGUGACAUGGUCCUUGGAACCUCCAAUUGAUAGGCGGUUGGUCAGAAGAACAGGUAACAGCCUGGGCUUGCGAUUGGCCUCUGAAGUAGGGGAGGGGCUUUUCUGGGCCUGAGCUCUUCAUGUGCGGGAUGUCGUGCGCUCCUCUAGGUAGUGUCAGAAGUGAGUCGAGUCCAUGAUUGGACUUGGAGAAGAGACUUGUGGCUGCCUGAUGGGAGGGGGAGAGAGUGGGAGGGAUCGGGAGCUUGGGCUUAUCAGACACAACCUAGAAUAGAUUUACAAGGAGAUCCUGCUGAAUAACAUUAAGAACUAUGUCUAGAUACUCAUGUUGCAACAGAAGAAAGGGUGGGGAAAAAUGUAAUUGUAAUGUAUACAUGUAAGGAUAACCUGACCCCCUUGCUGUACAGUGGGAAAAUAAAAAAAGAAAAAAAAAAAAAAGAAAGAAAUAGAUACAAAAAAAAAAAAAAAGAAGUGAGUCGAACUGUAGGACUUACAGCUGCUAUCAGAGAACUGCUUGUUGGGUGGAACCUUGCCCUCCAAACACACACACACACACACACGCACACAUUAGAAUUGGUAACCGGAAUUUUUAGAGAGACUUUCAAUUCAACCAGUUUUUUGUUUUUUUUAUGUUGUACGUAAAAUAGUCCUACUAAAAUGUGGCUUUGUACCAAAAAUGGCAUUCCUUUUCCUAAAAACUAGCAAGUAAAAGAAAUAAAAAUUGUCCUUUGAGGAACAAACUAUAAGAUAUACAAUCAGUGGAUAAAUCAGAGUAUAAAUCCGCAAAGCACACUAAAAGAGCCAGAAUGGACCGUAAGGCCAGCAGAAAAGCAUACAAUUAACUCUUACUUUUUCUCUUUUUUUUUUUUUAACUUUGGGUUUACAAAUGUAUUUUAGCAAGCAGACAAAUUUACAAGUACAGAAUCAGCAAAAAUAGUAUCCAAACUGUAAUUGGACUUAUGACAAACCAAUUUAGGGGCAUUGCAGUUGUUGAGACUUCUGUGAUGCUUUGAGUCAAUUAGGAAGAAUAGGGUAUCAUCUUAAAGGUACCACGUGCUUUACUACUGUGAAUUUCUCAGUAGCCCUUUGUUGGGGAUACCGGAGAAAUAUGAAACGUGGUCCCUUCCUCUGAGGUCUCUAAGAUCCUGUGGAUGUGGCCUCUUUUUCCUCUGGAGUAACUCUUACUAUUUUCUUUUUGUGCCCUAUUUAUUCAUGGUGCUGAAGAUGUUUGCUUGAGAAGGAAAAGAACGACAGUGUACUUUUCAUCCAGCUUUCUCCUCUAAGUAUUGAUCGCUGCUAAAUUUGCUAAUUUUAGCUACCACUGAUAUCCUCUGCCUUUCUGGGUUUGGUUUUGUUUUAUUGCCUGUGUGAGAAAUGAACAUGAAAACAAAAUCUAAAGGAAACAAAAGGCAGAGAAAGAAAGAAGAGCAGAAGAAAUACGGGGCGUGGGAAGGCUGUGAAACCCCAUUCUGCUAAUUUCCUAGCUGGGGAGGCAGCCUGGACUUCCUAAGGAAAAAACCUGAGUGACUUUCGCUUGGAAUAGCAGUUGUUCAGUUUGCAGGAGGGCCUAAAUGUGAACAAAUAUGCAUAUUAACAGAGGUGUGAAAUCUUACUCUGAAACGGUUGGGGACAGAAACGGAAAUGAGUGUUUAAGUAGCAGUAGGAAAAGAGUUGCUGUAUCCUCUCAGCCAGAAACAAUGGGACGUAAUUCUGGCCUUACAUCUGUACAGAAAUAGUUUGUUCAAUGAGCAAAGUUUAGCUACACUCAAAGCACCAGAAAGUCAGACAGCUGGGCUUAGAAUAGGUGGGCAAAAACAAGGUCAGAGCAGAGCGAGCAUCAGGCCACAAGCCAGAGUAAGGAGAUCACCACUGCUGCCGCCAUGGGAGUCUGGACCCUGCCCUCGGCUCCCCCAGCCCUGCUCACUGGGUGUCACUGCCCCAUCGUCAGUGUAAACCGUGACUCCAUAAACAGCAACACCCUCCUGUCAAGAAAGCUCAUCAUAACCAAAUUGUAUUUAAGUUAUCUUUAAAAUGUAUAACUUUUAACAUCCAAUAAAAAUUAAAAUGCUUGUAUUUGACCACCCCAUAACUUCACCUUAGAGUAUAUGCCCUCGUGAAAUUCACUUGGCACACACAAGGGUCUCCACAGCCAAGGAUGUCCAUUGGCAAAUGAGCAUCCUCUUGAAUUUUUUUUUUUUUUUUUUUGGUCAGUGCCGUAAGUGUGCAUAAAAGAAUGCUUAUAAACUAUCAAAUGGCCAAAGCUGAGGAAGAGAAAAAAAUGUCUUAAAAAAUCAGAGUGAAUCAGAAAAGAGAUUCCAAAGAUCUGCAGACGCAAGGGUCACUAGGGUGGAACCCACAGAAUGGAGGGUGACAAAGAUGGAUCGUUUUCUUCACUCUUUAAUAACCAACUGCACGAGGACAGGAUAAGGAGGACCUGACUUGUGGCAAUAUUUCCUCUUAAUUCGAGAGGUUUCAGAGGGCCGUAAACCUGCUACGCAUGUUAUAUAGUGGCUAGAGGAGCGGAGCCCUCAGGUGACCUUGGAGCCUUGUGUUCAGUUGUGGAGGCGGGAGAGCAAGAUGAGAAGGGCCAAACAUCGCAGGAGACAGAGCCCAAGGAGACAGUAACACCCGGGCCGAAAAUAAAGAGGACGGGAAGAUGUGUCUUCUCAUGUUAUGUGGGAGGGGAAAGAAAUGCCUGAAAGCCGGAAUUUCAGCUGAACAUGGUCUGUGUUCCUCUAGAGGGUGAAACACAACCAACUGGGCGGAAAUCACAUGAAUGUGGACUCUGAGAGAAGAGCAAGGCUUCUACCCCCUGUGGGUUCCUAGUGGCCCUUUAAUGAGGGAGUGACCUCCUGACACCUGGACCUAGUGAUAGCUCUCUGAUUAUGCUGUUGGGUGAGAGAUUUUAAAUAUUUAAACUUCUUAAUAUUCUUUUGCACUCAGUGUUUUGUUGUUUUUUGUUUGUUUGUUUGUUUUGUUUGUUUUUUUUUUACUUUUCAGAUAAUAGGCUUUCAGAGCAAAGCAAAAAGAAUACUAAUAGUUUGAUGAAUAGACUAUAUUCAAGCUUCUUUACCUAAUUGAUCUUAAUCAGGAGCCACGGAUUUAGUGACAAAAUAACCUCAUUUUUGACUCUUUCUCUCCUUUUUGUCCUGCUCAGAGGGCUUUUCCCUAUUUGGAUAAUGUCUUGGCCCAGCCUACGACUUUACAAUUUAUAUUUAGUUAAUAGUCCUACAGGCACUUCAAGUCACAAAUGCAACCUAAUGUCUAAUCUGAAACAUCUAGGAGUUCCUGCCGUGGCACAGUGGGUUAAGGAUCCAGUGUUACUGCCGUUUCAGCGUAGGUCACAGCUGUGGCUCACAUUCAGUCCUUGGCGCGGGAACUCCCCUAUGCUGUCGGUGUAGCAAAAAAUAAUAAUAAUGAUUAAAAAAUCUGUUAUUGUGUUCUGAUCGAGUUUAACGUUGAUUUAAAGUGAAAACUGCCUUCGUGACCCCAUUGGUCGCUCCGCCUUUGGUUGGUUACAUGCAGCGCAAAAGGGCUCAGGGAAGAGGAAGAGAAGCCAGGGGAAGUUUGGGGAGGUGGCAGCAGGUUCUCAGGAGGUCGUGGGGGUCGGGCUGAUACUGACAGCCCCCCUCGGGAACCUUUCCGUCUCUUCGGACGCCAUCCCAGGUCCCUCCGCUUCAGCUCACUUAGCACAGGCGGGGGCCUGGUUUCCGCUGAGCCCCCUCCAUCCUUGCCUCGGUCCCUGCCCCAGCCACGGAGAGUCACACGUGCCUGCCAUCCCCUUUCCCUGGCAGACCGUGCACUCUAGCCGGAUCCCUUUAAAGAUAACCACAGGCUGACGUCACAGCCACAAUAUCUGCAGUUGGUCCCCAGGGUCUCUACACCUUUAACGCGCUGUAGGGCAGGUGCGGUCACUUCCCAGCGUCAGCUCAUGGCUUGGUUGUCAUCAGUGGCUCUCACUUUCUCAGGCAUGAGGUGGACAGAGUCCACGGGGCCCAGGAACUCCUAUCCUACUGAGUGGUUCCACGAGGCCCAUCUCACCAGGCCAGGCUUUGGAGAUGGCACCACCACACCCCUCCCCCUGGAGGAAGUAAGAAUUCAGCUUCUCACCUAAAAUGUCUCCUGGCAAAUCCUUUCAAAAUGCCAGCCCUUCUGUUUUCUUCCUCCUGAUGCUCUGAGUAAAUGACCCACAUGUAAGGACUCAUAAGCUCAAUGGACUCAUGUGUUUUCAUAUUUUUUCAUUUUGAAGAUGUACUAUGUCAGUGGCUACUAUACCCUGGUGCCUUGAUCAAAAAUUUUAGUUAAACAUUCCUGUUACUCAUUUAGAUCCCUCAACAAACCCAUUCAAUGAAACUCAAUAUCCGCAUUUUGUGGAGGGGAAAAACCGAGGCAUAGAGAGAUUAAAUAAUUUGUCCGGACCAUGCUUGUACAGUUUAUAAACUGGAGACUGGAUAUAAAUCCAGAAGCUGUCAUCCACGUGUCCACUGCGCUGUUUGGGGUUAGUCAGUUUCGUCGUAAAGCAGAAUCUGUCUACACGGGCCAUUUUCCUUGUGGGAGCAGGGGUGGGGGGUGGGAGUUGCGGAGCGUUUGGAACCAAACCUCAAUUUCUCAUCAUUGUGCUUCAGUCAAUAGCUGCUGAAAAGCUCUCCUUUGUGGACCAGUACAUCCUGAUGCAUGGGGACAAAGAGCAGCUGCAUGUGCAUAUGUUUUGGCCAACUUAGUUGUUGGAUUUAUAUGACAAAGGCUCACAAUAAACAUUUAUUGAGCCCUUGCUAAGUGCACUUACCCAGAUUCUUCCAUUCCUUCCUCAUCACUCAAGGGUAGUCUUUUUCCAGUUUUAGAGACGAAGAAAGAGACCCAAGGAAAAGUGCUGGGAGGAAACCUGGAAGACAGAAGACCAGCCCCCUUGUCCCUGUCCCAGCUCGCACGAGCACUCAGGAGGCUGGCCCAGGGCCACAGCUCCUUCGGGCUGUGUGUCUCCUCAUCUGUCAGAUGGGAAGAAUGACAUUUAUCCUGUUUGCUUGGCAGGAUCCUUGUGGGGUUAAAUGAGGCAGUGGAUAGGGGAGAGCUUUUAAAACUCUUGAAAUCCUGUCCACAUUCAGAGACUCGUUCUGGCUUUGUUAUUCCCACCCCACCGAGGCAGCUGCUGUAGGUCAAGUUGCAAGGCCAUCCUCUGCCGAGUGUCACGUGACAAGGACCUCAGAGAUGCUGUCCCACACGCAGGGCAGGGGAGAGGCUGUGUCCUGAACACCAUUUAAACAGAAGGAAAGGAAACAUAAUUAAAACCAAACAAAAGCCACGAAAAUAGUGUCUCACUAUGGCUGAGCAAGGGCCAAAUAGAGAAACCUUGAGGAUACUUUCAUUGCUCUUGAGAACUAUUAUAGGGCUGGAAAAUGAGAGCCAGGUGGAGGGAAAGGGAGUAAGGCCACAAAAGACUAGCAGAGAGAGAAAAGAAGCACAGACGCACAAAUUUGGGGAAAGUGAGCAUGACAGUACAGAAAAGUGUUUUUAAAUCCGCUCAGAAACUGACCAGAGAUUCUAAGAUAUGACUGGAUGUUUGCAAAACACAACAGCUGCUGCAUUCCACAGUCUAGAAGGGAAAUAAUGGAAACUUUCUUUUCUUUUUUCCAACAAGACAUAACAAAAGCAGGGCUGAUGUAAUUAAUGAAAAAAAGAUGGCUGUUUGAAAGAGGGAGGGCGCUGAACAACAGAAUGGAAUGGAAAUGAGGCCCACAUUUAGGGACAAUUCAUUAUUUAUCUGCUGUUCUUUCUGUGCACACCAGGUCCUGCUAAUAUUUCUCCCUCCAGUGAGACUACCAAACCAUGUUGGUUAGCAGUACAAGCAUACGUAGUUAGACGCUACGAUGUAAGCAGAGGGUGGCUGGAGUUAUUCCUUGAAUAUCAAUUAGCAUAGUCCAUCCAACUUGAAGACUCUUACAACUGAAUACUUCAACUUAAUGGAUCUGUUUUCAAAUUCCCUUUAAUGGCCCUUCUGUGACCAUAAUAUCUGCUUUUCCAGACAUCCUAAGUAGAAACCAUUAUGGACAAUGUAUGUAAAAUCCCCCAAGGAGAGCAUAUGGAGGAGAGACUGUAGAUUGCCAAAUUUAGCAGCUCUGGAGAGAGUGUUUUUGAAUUAAACUUGAGUCCAUAGGGAUUACAGUUCAUUUAUGACUGGCAAAACAUAUCUUCCCAAUGCUGAAAGAUAAAUCCCACUGAUACACAUGUGGAUUUCACAAGUGGUUCUCAAAAACUAUAAGACCAAAAAAAAAAAAAAAA